GUCACUUUGGCGGAGUGGUUAACGCGCUGCCCUGCUAACCUUGCUUAGCGUUCUUAGGCAGUUCCUUCGGGAGCGUAGGUUCGAAUCCUACAGGUGACG
rfam:Myceliophthora thermophila ATCC 42464 chromosome 3, complete sequence.